AUUGAACGCUGGCAGCAUGCCUUACACAUGCAAGUCGAACGGUAACAGGUUAAGCUGACGAGUGGCGAACGGGUGAGUAAUACAUCGGAACGUGCCCGAUCGUGGGGGAUAACGAAGCGAAAGCUUUGCUAAUACCGCAUAAGAUCUAAGGAUGAAAGCAGGGGACCGCAAGGCCUUUCGCGAUCGGAGCGGCCGAUGGCAGAUUAGGUAGUUGGUGGGAUAAAAGCUUACCAAGCCGACGAUCUGUAGCUGGUCUGAGAGGACGACCAGCCACACUGGGACUGAGACACGGCCCAGACUCCUACGGGAGGCAGCAGUGGGGAAUUUUGGACAAUGGGCGAAAGCCUGAUCCAGCCAUGCCGCGUGCAGGAUGAAGGCCUUCGGGUUGUAAACUGCUUUUGUACGGAACGAAAAGACUCUUUCUAAUAAAGAGGGUCCAUGACGGUACCGUAAGAAUAAGCACCGGCUAACUACGUGCCAGCCGCCGCAGUAA
rnacentral:rRNA from 1 species